AAUUCAGGCUGUAACACAACAAAAUGCGAAGAAAUUAAAGGGGUGUCAAUACUUACUGAAGUCACGUACAAUAAUUGAUACGUCACCGUAGUAAUAGCGAAACCGAAAGUAGCCAAACAGUCUGUUGCCGGACGAUUUUGCGAUCGUUAUCAGAUCUUUCGACACCUUCUAAACGUCAACAGCCUGUACUGUUUGCGAGGAAUCCAGAGAUGACUUCAGCUACCUCCUUGCUGUUUUUUGCGAUCCAUUUAGCCUGUAUCAGCACUGGAAAUUCCUCUGAGUCAUUUGUCAAACUGGAGUGUAAAACAGAAUACCAUGGGGUUUAUGGUCAGCAGUUAAUUCUAGGGUGCAUUGUCAAACCUGUGGUUGUGGAUGUGACCAUCAUAACGGUGACCUGGAAGAGAAUGGGAGCUGCUGCUAAAGCUGAUGCUAAUUUGUUGGAAUACCAUAAAGAGAAAAGGGAGCUAACCCCUGGGUUUACAUUUGCUGAGCCAUCCUGGAACAAGAAGAAUAUGAAUGUGUCCUUGUUGUUGACAAAUACCAAGAUGGCCGACAAGGGGGAGUAUGAAUGCAUGGUGACCACAGAUGUUGGGAUUGCCACAGCUACAAUCAGCCUCAGUGUCACAGCUAAGUACAAGACUCCAACCAUGAGCUCCAUCCCUGAGACCAACAUCAAAGAGAACACAGAUGUGACCAUUUUCUGCAACUCUACAGGCGGGCACCAGACAGGGUUGAUCUGGUGGUUUGACGAGUUCGGCACCAAUUGGACGCGCAGUGCUGAACUGGUGGCCAAAGAGAUGGACAAUGGACUGUUCAGCCUCUCCAGUAAAUUCAUAGUGCUGAAGGCCACAUCCAGUUACACAAACUACACGUGCAAAGUGCUCAAUGUCAAUGGUGCAGAGGAGGGGAUGGCGUCAUUUGUAAUCCAGUUUGCGUCGCGAGACUUAGGUAUUAAAAGUGACCACUUGGAUAUUGUCUCCACCACCAAAUGGCUAACCCCGGUUGCAGUCAUAGGCUCUCUGAUCAUUGGACUCCUUGCUGCACUGCUGUUCUUUAAGAGGCGUUCUGCCCAACGAGCUCGAAGGCAGUCCACCUUCCCAUUAAUGAGUGGCCACCAACCAGAUACCAGGCAUGAUCAAUAUGUUGAGGCAUGAGGUCUAAACAGCGACAGGAGCUGAUUAGUUAACUGGCAGUCUCUGGAAGGGGCUGUUUCCUUGACCAUCAAUAAGGAGCUUGUCACCUUCACUGUUCUUUGAUGGACUGUUUCCUGUUAAGUGUUCGGUGACAGUCACUUUGGCACUCAGGUCAUUCUGAUUUGAGGCAUUUGUUUCUUCAUAAUCUACUGAGGAUGCCAGCCUUUAAGCACUGUGGUUGAUUACAAAUGAUAUAACUCUUUAACAGCCUAUGUUUAAAAGCCUAACAUAAAUUGUUAUAUACAGAGUUGCCAUGGUGUAGGUAAACUGUAGAUUCUACCAGCAUGAUUGUUAAAACUCAGGUCUGCUAAGAGCAAAUUUGAAUACUGUGAAAAUUCUUUGCAACUUCCGGUGCAGGUUUACAGGCUGUUCCUGCUUUAAGUUAGUUUUAACAGUGGUCAAGUAGGGUACUGUGGCUAUUUGAUCAUAAUGUAGGCCUACCAGAGUGGCCUACCAUAAUAAACAAUGGAGAAAAUGCAUCCCAUAACAUUAUAACAUGGAAAUAGCUGUUCUAUCAUUCAGCCAACAGUAGCAGCCAAUGUGCGGUGUUCAAUGUAAGUCUACAUUCCAUGAGACUUUUGAAAAAAACAUGUAGGACUUGACAUGAACCUGUUUAUCCACAAGGAGGUGAUUGAAAAUGUUGUUGUGUUGUUUGAUGCAAGAAACCACUUGCAUCAUUAUUCCCAUACCAUUAUGACAGAGAAUGACACAAAUUAUGCUACCCUCUGCCUAUUGGCUACUUAGCGUAUUCAAGGCUGAAAUGCACAAGUUUUGUGUUCUUGUAGGAAGCAAUCACCCCCCCCCCCCCCCUCCCACAUUUCUGACUACAAAUUAUCAAUAACUGGGCUAAUAACUCACUAACUAGUGAACAAAUGUACAAAUGUGCACAAGUCGCUACAUAUAGUUCUUGCUUUGAUCUACUCACAACCGCUCAUGCUGUAAAAGCAGUCCAGUUCAAAGUGAAUGGCACAGAUCUAUAUAUGACAAUGGUCUAUUUGUAUAUAGGCCUACUGCAGCUCUGAUUGGUUAUUGGCACACUGGUCUGUGUAGAGUACAAGUCUGCCUGUCAAUGCAAUAGAAUCCUACUCUGAUGCGUUCUGCCUACAACAAAAUAUUUUAUAUAUUUAGUUUUGCAUAGCAAGUAUUGCACUGUUUGUUUUGUUUCGGUAUGUUGUAUUGAAAGUGGCUGAUAUUGCGUUCAUUCGAUCACAAUUCCCACAGUAAAGGGAAACACUGAUAGUGUUAACUAACAGGCAAAACUCUAGAAAGUUGAGUAAAGUUCAGACUCGCACAGGGCUGAUAUUUCUUCUGCGUAUCAGUCCCGGGGAGCUGCACAUGCGCAGCUUAGAGGGAACAUUGUUCAUGAGUGUACACAGCACUUUUUCAAAAAAGAUGAAGUGAAACUAAUUUCGCCUCUGAGGUUUCACAAGACUGUACAGUGCAAUACGACACGUUUCAUUUGACCAAAGAUUUGUUGAUCAUCAGGUUUCAAUAGAUACUGCUGUGCCUGCCACUGUCCUCCCUGGGCUUUCAUUCUGCUACAAUGUGUAUGAGAAGAAAUGUUAUGCUAAAUAGCACAUUACUUUUGACUAGAAGGAAUAGGGUGCCAUUUUGAAGUCAUCCUUUGACUUGACUUUGUGUAAUAUCUGGAACUUAUUGUAACAUUAAACCAACCUUGUUACCAACAGCCAGCCUGUUGCUUCAACAGUGCUACCGCAGCAGUUUCUUUUGAUUUCUCCUUCCUCUUUCUGCUGCUGGAAAAUUUAGAUCCAUAUCUAUGUCUUGCCCAGGCCCGCCUCCAUGAAGUCAGUUUAAUGGAAUGCAACAGUAAACAUGAAAACCGAUGGACUAGAGUCAAUUAUUAAUUAAGUUUCAAGGUGACGUAAACAUCUUCACCUGGUGGUUGAUUAUGAUCAUUUUGGAAAAACAUUUCAAAACAUUUUGUGUUAUGCAAGGGGCAGCAAUUGUCUUAUAUUUAUAUAGUGAUCGUUUCAGUUCACAUUUUACUGCUAUCGUGUUGCUGGUGAUGGCGUUACAUAUCGACUGAGAAAUCUGUUGUUAUAUUGAGGUAACUUGAGGUGAAUGCCGUCCACAGCAAGACUACACCUCCCACAAUUCCUUCCAACCCUUCUACAGUAUCUGUUCCUUCUUGCUUAAGUGCAAACUUGGCAGCUGGCACUGUAGAUACAGAUAUGAUUAACCUAUCUCUAUGCCAGCCUGCAUUUUUGCUCAGCUCUACUAUGGUGGCUUGAGAUGUUUGUGUGUAAAGUUAUGACAAUUUGCCAAUUCUAACAAAAUUAAGAAAUGUUAUUUCGUAGUGUAAGAGGCCAAGAUGAGAGAGGACUCCUGUCUGUAUAUGAAGUGAUUGUCAAGUGAUUUGAUAAUAGGUACAAAAAAAAGACAAUAUAAUAUUGUAAUAAAACUAUAAUCUAUUAAUACAUCAACUGCACUUGUAGGCUAUUUAUUGUUAAUCUGUUAAUGGAUUAAGCAUCAACUGCACUUGUAGGCUAUUUAUUGUUAAUCUGUUAAUGGAUUAAGCAUUAACCUCACUUGUAGGCUAUUUAUUGUUAAUCUGUUAAUGGAUUAAGCAUUAACCUCACUUGUAGGCUAUUUAUUGUUAAUCUGUUAAUGGAUUAAGCAUUAACCUCACUUGUAGGCUAUUUAUUGUUAAUCUGUUAAUGGAUUAAGCAUUAACCUCACUUGUAGGCUAUUUAUUGUUCAUCAGCAUCGCUUUUGGUUUAAUGAUGAUAUUUUUGAUUGAAUUUGUUUUAAGCUAAAUUGUAAUAGUAGGUUUUAUGUCCAUUUUGACAGGAGCUCGAAGGCAGUCCACCUUCCCAUUAAUGAGUAUGUCCUUCAAUAUUCAGUAUAUGUCAUUUUAAUUUGUCACUUUGAGUUUAUGGUUUCCCAUCUUUCCUAGACAGUUCACAGAAGUCACUGUAAAAGCAAUACAAUACAUGUCUGCUUGAGGCCUAUGUACCUUACCCCAUAUGUACCUUACCCCAUAUGUACCUUACUCCAUAUGUACCUUGCCCCGUAUGUACCUUGCCCCGUAUGUAUCUUACCCCAUAUGUACCUUACCCCAUAUGUACCUUACCCCAUAUGUAUCUUAUCCCAUAUGUAUCUUACCCCAUAUGUAUCUUACCCCAUAUGUAUCUUACCCCAUAUGUAUCUUACCCCAUAUGUAUCUUACCCCAUAUGUAUCUUACCCCAUAUGUACCUUACCCCAUAUGUACCUUGCCCCAUAUGUAUCUUACCCCAUAUGUAUCUUACCCCAUAUGUAUCUUACCCCAUAUGUACCUUGCCCCAUAUGUACCUUGCCCCAUAUGUACCUUGCCCCAUAUGUACCUUGCCCCAUAUGUACCUUGCCCCAUAUGUACCUUACCCCAUAUGUAUCUUACCCCAUAUGUAUCUUACCCCAUAUGUAUCUUACCCCAUAUGUACCUUACCCCAUAUGUACCUUGCCCCAUAUGUAUCUUACCCCAUAUGUAUCUUACCCCAUAUGUAUCUUACCCCAUAUGUACCUUGCCCCAUAUGUACCUUGCCCCAUAUGUACCUUACCCCAUAUGUACCUUGCCCCAUAUGUAUCUUACCCCAUAUGUAUCUUACCCCAUAUGUAUCUUACCCCAUAUGUAUCUUACCCCAUAUGUACCUUACCCCAUAUGUACCUUACCCCAUAUGUACCUUGCCCUAUUUUGUAUGUUUUUAUAUGUGACUUUGUUUAUUAUUAAUGAUAUCAUUGAGAUGAAAGUUUUUUUACUUUGUCCAGAUAAACCAUGUAAAAUGCAGAAUAUCAUUUUGUGUGAUGUUUCUGGGUAUAUUUCACACUGUGAAAUUCCUGUUCAAAUGGCGCACCUUGAUACUGUUCAUUAAACACAGGGCAGUGAGAAAGAUGUUACACGGAAGGUUUUGUAAAUAUUUUCAAUUGUUGUUUUUAAAUACUACAAUCUUUAAACAAAUGAAAAGCGUAAUUGAUGGGGAGGCUAAUCUGCAUUCUUUCAUGUUCUAAGAUGUAAACUGUUUUCAUAAGUUUUAAGGAACCAAAAGCUGUAAACCCAUUGUGAGGAAAAUGUAUGUAAUUACUGCACAAAGAAAGAAAAUAAUCUUCAUCAUUAUUUAUUAUAUAAGUAGUUACAGUACCUGAAGACUGUAUUUUUUUGCCCAGCGACAGUUCAUUAGUACACCGUAGCAAAACAAUUCCCAAUCGGCUUUCAUUUGGUCCCUUGUGAAUACAACCCUGGAUUGAUUGAACUGAAGUUAGACAUGUGACACUGAACAGAAGCAACAUGUCCACUAGAGGGAAUUCUCUCCUCUCAUUCAAAUUCUGAUGCAAAGCGUGAGAAGAGAUAUGAGCUGAGUUGUAUUAACAUUGAGAAAAAUCGACAUCUGGAAGGUGAAUAACAUGAACACAACAUGAUGUAACUUUGAUAUGUUUUUUUAACAUGCCUGUUGUAAUGUGAAUGCAGUGAAGUUCAUUUACAGUUGGAUAUGUUGUUGUGGUUCUAUAACAAUUCAGUCCAUCUACUCUGCACUCACCAUAUUUUUUGACUAACACAAUAAACCAUUGCAAUUAUAAUAACAUAUAUAUAGCAUUUAUUUCAAUUAAGAAUUCUAAAUUAGACUGCAGUAAUACAUGAAGGUGUGGUUGACUGUGAGGGACUGUGAUGUCAGAUGUGUCGUAUUUCCUGUUCUUUAUAAGUAGAUGUCAGACAGAGACAGACAGCAGUACACAGCCAGAUGUGGUGAUAUGAUGCCACUGCUGAGGUGUUUGCUCUUGUUCUACUUCUCAUUCAAUGAAUUGACCACAGCAGCAGGAAUCCAAAGAUGACUUCAGCUACCAGUUUUCUGUUUUUUGCGAUCCAUUUAGCCUAUAUCAGAGCUGGAAUUUCUUCUGAGACAUUUGUCAAACUGGAGUGUGAAGAAGAAUACCAUGGGGUUUAUGGUCAGCAGUCAUUGCUGGAGUGUAUUGUCAAUGCUGUUCAGAACGUGACCAUCUUGACGGUGACCUGGAAGAGGGUGGGAGGUGAUGCACCUUUGUUGGAAUACCAUAAACAUGCAAAUGCCUCAACCCUUGGAUUUAAAUUUGCUGAGCCAUCCUGGAACAAGAAUAAUAUGAAUGUGUCCUUGUUGUUGACAAAUACCAAGAUGGCCGACAAGGGUGUGUAUGAAUGCAUGGUGAGAACAGACAGUGGUGAUGCUACAGCUACAGUCAGCCUCAGUGUCACAGCUAUGUACAAAUCACCAACCAUGAGUUCCAGUCCUGAGAACUGCAUAAAACAGAACACUGGUGUGACCAUUUUCUGCAACUCUACAGGCGGGCACCAGAAAGGGUUGAUCUGGUGGUUUGACGAGUUUGGCACGAACUGCACAGGCAGUGCUGAACUCGUGGCCAAAAAGACAGACGAUACACUGUUUAGCCUCUCCAGUAAACUGACAGUUCUGAAGGCUACAUACAGUGGUUCCACAAACUACUCAUGCACAGUGCACAACACCAAUGGAGUCCAGGAGGGGAAGGCAUCAUUUGAGAUCCCGUUUGUAUGUUCAGCAGGUUCAAAAGAUGAUUUUGCUUCUGACUCCACUACCCAGUGGCUUGCCCCAGUUGGGGUCAUAGGAUCUCUGGUCAUUGGACUCCUUGCUGCGCUGCUGAUAUUUAAGAGGCGCUCUGUCCAACGUGCUCGAAGGCAGUCCACCUUCCCAUUAAUGAGUCACAGUGGCCACCCAACUGACAGGCACCACGAUGAUGAGGCAGAAGGAAACGCUAUCCUUACUGUCUAAAUAGUGACAGUACACAGGACCAGCAUUCCAGUCUUUAGUAACUGAUUUGUUAACUGGCAGUCUCUGGAAGGGACUGUUUCCUUGACGAUCAAUAAGUGGCUUGUCACUAUCCUUUGAUGGACUGUUUCCUGUUAAGUGUCCAAUGACAGUCACUUUGGCACUCGGGUCAUUCUAAUCGAGGCAUUUGUUUCUUCACAAUCUACUGCUGAUGGCAGCCUUUAAAGUCUGUGGUUGAUUACAAAUGAUAUGUUUCUAUACAGGGUUGCCAUGGUGUCACUAUACUCUAGAUUCUACCACUGUAGAACAUUGGUAUACUGUAAUACCAGGUAAUCUAAUCACUGUGCACACUAUACCACGAGGUGCAUGGUUUAACAUUCCACAUUUCCUCUACUGUAGUUUCUACCAUAUUGGUUGUUAUUACUAUACUGUAACACCAUACCAUCUAAUCACUGUUACACGCUGUUCUAUACUAAGGUUGUGCGAACAUUCAAUUUGAACACUGUACUUUUCUGAAAACAUGUAGCAAAACUGGUUACCCUUCUGAAAGAGGGUUUCACAAGACUGCACAACAACCACUCUUCUAACCAAAAGCCAGCCGGUUGCUCCUACCACAGAUUUAGUUUUAGGCCUUCCUCUUUUUCCUUGUCUUGCUCGAUCUGCUAGUGUAAAAUGCAGAUUUAUAUCUUGCUCAGAGCGCACGUCCAGGAAAUGCAAUGGAAUGAAACUGUAAACAUGUUGAUCAUCAGGUUUCAAGAGAUACUCCUGCAUCUGUCAGUAUUCUCCCUGGGCUUUGAUUCUACUACAAUAUCUUUGGGGAGAAUGUGGCACCCAAUUCCCUAUAUAGUGCACUACUUUUGACCAGAUGGAAUAGGGUGCCAUUUGGAAUGCAACCUUUGACUUGACUUUGUGUUUUAUCAUUUUUUGGCACUGAAUGUAACAUAUAACCAUUAUCAGAAGUCAGCCUGUCACUCCUCCCACAGCUGUUUGUUUUUGGCCUUCCUCUUUCUCAUUGUCUGGCGCCAUCUGCUGGUGUAAAAUUCAGAUCUACAUUUAUAUCUUGCCCAGGGCUCGCCUCCAUGAAGGCAGUGCAAUGGAACGCAACUGUAAACCUGAAAAACGAGAGUCAAUUAGUCAUCUGAGAGAAUUAGUUAUCAGUUUCAAGUUGAACAUGUAAAUGUUUACCUGGUGGUUGAUUAUGAUGCUUUUUUGUAAAUGCCACAAUUGUUUUAUGUUAUGAAAGAGGCUGCUACUGUCUUAAUAUUGUAGUUAUAGAAUGACUGUUUCAGUUCCCAUUAUGUUUUACUGCUAUCAUGUUGCUGAUGGCAUUACAUAUAGACUGACUAAUCUGUUGUAUUGUGGCAGCUUGAGGUGAAUGGUGUCCACGACAAGACUCCACCUCCCAUAAUUCCUGGCAAAUCUUGUAUCAGUUCCUUCUUACUUCAGUACAUGAUUGGAAGUUGGCACUAUAGAUACAGCUAGAACUAUUAAUCAAUUUAUAUGCUACCCUGCUUGGCACUGGUCAGGGCUCUUCCAAAGAAGCUUGGGCUUUUGGUUUAGCUCUACUAUAGUGGUUUGAGAUGUUCAUGUGUAAAGUUUUGUAUUUCGCAGUUCAACAAAAUGUUUUCUUCUCUGUAUGAAGUGUAUAUCAAGCGAUUUUGUUGAUGUGCCUGCUUGAGGCCUACUUCACUUACGUUUUUGUUGUCCCCCGUUGUUUUGUAUAUUUCACACUUUUGAAAUUCCUUUUCAAAUCCCACACCUUGACACUGUUCAGGUUUUGUAAAUAGGAAGAUUUUAAUUGUAGUUUUUAAUUACUACAAUCUUUUUUUUUAAUGAAAAUCCUAAUUGAUGGGGAGGCUAAUCUGAAAUGUUCUUAUGUUCUAAGGUCAACUGUUUUAAGGAACCAGAAGCAGUAAACCAUUGUGAGAAAAAUGUAUAUAAUUACUGCACAAAGAUUUUUUUAAUACUUUUUUUAUCCAUCAUUAUGCAUUAUAUAAGUAGUUACAGUACCCAAAGACAAUUUUUUUUUGCCCAGCGACAGUACAUCAUUGCAUUCAUUAGUGCACACCGUAGCAAAACAAUUUGCAACGGAAAACAAAUGUUUCUUAUUGGACAAGUUCAGGUGGUCCCCUCCACAUUUUGGUCAAUCUAUCAUUUUGUUCCUUGUGAAUACAACCCUGGUUUGAUUGAAUCCAGAGAUGUGACACUGAACAGAAGACAACUUGUCCAUUAGAUCAGGGUUCCCCAAAUGGCGGCCCACGGGCCGGUGGUUUUAUUUUGCCCCCCAAAAAUAUACAGUUAUAUUUUUUACUACUUUUACUCAACUACACUACUAUUCAAAAGUUUGGGGUCACUUAGAAAUGUCCUUGUUUUUGAAAGAAAAGCACCAUUAAAACAUCAAAUUGAUCAGAAAUACA